UAUAGCUUUUGUUAUCCGUUGUUUGGCGUGUGUGUCGUCCCUUUGCAAUUGGUGCCCAGUGAACUUGGAUCAUCUCCCUGCAGGUACAUAACAGUCCACCAUAACUCCAGUUGCUCUGCUAAUCCUCCACUGACACAAAUGCAGAUACACACGUAAAGACACAAACACAGACCAGAACCAUGUGACCAGCUGACGCAAUGAAGCAUGAGCUUUAUAAACCACCUCUAGGGACUGCUCUCCCUUAAGGGGGAUCAUCAUAGACCAGGUGUGUGUCUAUGUCAGUGUAAAGAGGGGUGUGUUUGGACACAGGGGAGAGCUGCUGCUGCUGCUGCCUCAAUCAGCCUGGUGGAGAAGACAGAGGCCAGAGAGACAGAGAGAGCGAGGAGGAAAGGGAUUUAGAGUCUAAAGUUGCCUAGCAAACACGGCUGAGGGCUUUUUUUUAUUUUGGUCUCAGCUGAGGAGCACUUGAAAAAGCAACAACUAUGUUUUUCCGCAUCCCAAGACUGACCCCUGGAUAUAUUAGAUACCUCCAGACCCAGGCGGCCCAGACCGUGCUGCAAAGCCGCGAAGCCCCUGUGAUGCAGCGCAUGGCCAUGAUGCUGGGGUUGAUGGGGAUUGGAUUGUCGGGCUACAGCUCUCGCCAGCUCACACUGCACUGCAAGCCGGCGAGCAACCUCUUCAGAUGAAAUGAAAAAGGAAACACGUACAAACACGCAGACACACACCCAGGAACACGCCAACAUACACAAGCCUCUUUCACUUGUAAAGCUGAAGUUUUUGGGAAGUGUGUUUAAUCUUAUUGUUCCCUGUAUCCAAGUGGUUGCCUGGCAACCCGUGGAGACUCCAGGAAGUUUUUUUUUUUUCAGAGUCACAGAAUUGCUCAUAAAACAGAAAAUGUGUCAAUUUAAGCUAUUGUUUGAAAAAGAUAAACACACAAGAUUUGGUGUGUUAAAUAUUGAGCCUCAGAGGGUUUUGUUUUGUUUUGUUUUUCAUUUAACAAAGCUUUUCAGUGGUUAUGCUAAGCUAAGGCCUACCAGCUCUCUAGCCAAUUUGGUGAGAGUGCAAAUAAACACAUUUCCCAAAAUGUCUAUAUAAAAUCAACAAGAAAAAGUUCAGUAAACUGAGAGAUGUAAUUACACCUAAAAUAGAACACAGAAAAUGUUCUGUGUUUUUUUUUAGCUGUGCAUAUUUGAUAAUAAUCCCCUCCCUGUGGUUUAAGUUUAAUGUCAACCUUGUUCUCGACUUAAGACGAUUCAAUUGUGUUCGACAUGAAAAGAAUCUUCAGAAUGUACAAACCUACCUCUUCAUUAAGCACAGUGCAGUAUUAUUUCUUGUGACAGAUAUGCAGUGAAACAGAAAGGCAGCUAUUGAUUUUUUUGUUCAACUUGGUUGGCAUUAAACUUUCACCCUAAUUCCUCCCUAUGUCCCGUGCCUUACCAUGGGAGACAAAAUUGACCGUUUAUUUUUUCAAGCAUACCAACGGUCUUUAAUCACAUUUUUUUUUUUUAAAACGCAGCUUGAGCUGAGCCCCAAGAAAUCUCCUCCUUAAAUCCCCAGAAUUAAUCAUCGCCACUUCUCCUCUGGCAUUUUGGCAAUUUCCAUGAUGUAACUCAGAGCGCACAGCCAAGUUUGUGACGUCUUGGCCUGUUUUCUCUUUAUAGAUGUGGAGGGAUAGUGCAUGAGAAACUGCUUAAACUGAGAGAAUCAAGGCAUAUUUAUUUCAAUCUCUCUUGAUUCUGGUGUUGUACAGUGUUAGUUAUGACAUUUUUGACACCUCCUGAAAAUGUUGAGAGAAAAUAUUCUACCAACAGAAACAUAAAAAAAAGUCUGACUUUUGAUGCGUGAACAAUGCUACUUUGCACUUUUAUGUACAUGUCUUGUAUAUAUUCAUGUAUAUAUCACUUUUAAUGCUGAAUGAGAUUAGUAGAACACAACACUGGGUGCUACCAGCUUUUGUUGUGCGCUGGACGGGGCGAGAUCUAGCUGGAUUGACACACGGCGUUGCUGUGUUUUUGUCAGGCAGAGGAACCAGGUCAGCCACCCUGGAAACCACCUGAACAUGUGAAUCCACCCGGAUCUCUCCUGGUUGCACACCAGUGUCAGACAUGACGUAUGAAUGACCUCAGUGGUCUCUUAACUUAGCUACAAUUUGUGUUCACAUUGAAUUUGAAUGAAAACAAUACAACCUUUACAGCAUAUAUCACCGACGAAGAAUGAAAAUGAGCAGUUAUACUCUGUCCUGCUGUGGUUAAAAAAAGGCAGGUUAGUUGAAUAAUAGGAGGAGAUCAGUGUGUAAGCAGGUCACCAGGUGUGUGCAGUGAUACAGUGAUCCUCUUAAAGAAACACAUCUUUUUUAGACCAGCUUAUUCUGACAUAUAAGGAGGGUCAAUGACCCUGAAACAGAGACACGUAAUAUCGUGACAGAAACAACUGUGUUUAUUUAUGUUCUUUGAAGCUGACUGGGACUCUUCUUGAACAAGGGAUUUCACACAGGUGGACAUAGUUGAUGAUGGAUGGGGGAAUUUGAAAAUGAUGGGGUCAUUUAUCAUUUAUUUUUGUUGUAUGUUUAUGUAUGUUUUGCUUCUUUGUUCAGUUUAUAUUCUUCCUUAUGGUAUAAAAGCAUGAGAUGUCUUGAACGCCACCCAUAAAACCAGCUCAUUUGGAUAAAAUCUACAUCUAAUUUUCUAUUUUUCUAUUAUGUAUAAAAUAAAACAGACUUGUCAGGGAGUGUGCUGGGAAUCAAUCAAACAUAAUCCCUCUUGUUUGGUUUUUAUACACAUUUCAAGGGUGCAGUAUUUUUCAAAUGGGUUAAAUUGUGGGUUUAAUGAACUUGUUGGGGUAUUAUAAUCUUGUGUCAAUCAGAUCCACUGAUACAUUUUAAAUGUGUUUUGUUUUUAAUAAUGGACCUCGUGUUACAGAUUUUGUCUGAAAAUUUACUGCUACAUUUUUGGGGGGAAUUGUAAUGAAGAGUAUGACCCAUAGUGAUGUAAAGCAUUAUAAAUGCAAAAGAAGCACCUUUGAACAUGCACUAUUUUGUAUGAUUAAAUCACCCUGUGGGCAAGAAUGAAUAAAUACGGUUAUGAACAACU